GCCGGGCACGGCAGCGCAUGCCUGUAGUCCCAGCUACUAGGGAGGCUGAGGUGGGAGGAUCACUUGAGCCCAGGAGUUCUGGGCUGAAGUGCGCUAUGUCAAUCGGGUGUCCACACUAAGUUCAGCAUCAAUAUGGUGACCUCUCAGGAGCAGGGGGACCACCAGGUUGCCUAAGGAGGGGUGAACCGGCCCAGGUCAGACACGGAGCAGGUCAAAACUCCCGUGCUGAUCAGCAGUGGUAUUGCGCCUGUGAACAGCCACUGCACUUCAGCCUGGGCAACACAGCGAGACCCCAUCUCU
rnacentral:SRP_RNA from 1 species